CCAACAUGGUGAACGUCCUGGGUGACUCUCACUCGCGACGGUGCCGAGGCGCAAGGCCUCCUCCGCAAUGGAGCAGUGAACGGCGGUACGCCGCGGUCGAAGGAGGCUUUCGGGCACGCGGGCACGGCCAAAGAGAGGCGCGCGCUUUAUUUAACGGGGCAUCCCGCGUGUUCUCCCCUUUCUCUCUCACCCCGUCUUCCCGCGUGUACGCGAGUGGUCGCGAGAAAGAAAUCUGGGGCUCGGAGUCGAGGAACCGUCAUAUCCGUGGAUUUGUCAGUCGUGUGCGUCGCGUCUCGAAUUCCGAAUCGGAUCGGAUCGCGAAUAAGAGACGCGGGCCGUCGCGCCGCGAGUCAGCGCGACUUUCGCCGAUUAUGGACAGGAGAGAGCGCGAGUGCCAAUCUCGAACGAGCCUGUGAACCUCAUAUUGGAGGCGGCGGAGGCGGUGGAGGCGGUCGCGGGGCGACUCGCCAGGCGCUGUCAUUCGAAGAGCCCCGCGCUUUCGUUGCGCCUCAACUGCGUAGGAGUGUUUCGCGGUGGAAACCCGCCGGGGUUGUCCCCCGCGAAGGGGUGUGCGCGUUAAAAUGCCUGGGCCGCUGCCGAGUAUAACCAGUUUCCUUCCACUGCCUCGAAAUCUCGCUGUUGCACUCAUCGAAGUCACUUGGCGAGUUGACUGAGACUUGGCGAAAGAAGGUGGGAGAGAGAAAGAGAGAGCGAGAGUGAGGGAGAGAGAAGAGGGUGCGCGAGUGAGAAAGAGAAUGAGCGAAUGUGCGCCAGUGAGGAGGAGUAGGUGGGUGCGUGAUAGAAUGGCGGAGAAUGAAAGAGAGAAGGAGAGAGACGUGAGGAGUGG